CAAACCCACGCGACCACUACGGAGUAAUGACAGCAGCUUUCUGCUCUGAAAGAUUUAUUUCGGGUUUCUUUCUCUCUCUUGUGUUGCUAUUCAACUCUCAGGGAGGAUGAGAAAGUGUUGUGAUUUCAAGGAAGUGGAGUCCUUAAGGUCCCUGAAAGAUUUCACAGCCUUGGAAACCUCACACACGGAGGAGACUAUUGGAGAGUCUUUGCAGGGCCAAAUCUUCAUCCACCAAUGGUAGAAUGAGUCAGGCUGCAUUUGAAGAUUGCCCUUGAAGAAUUGUGAAAAUACAAAUAAUAGAAGUAGCUGUUGAAAGAUUCCAGAUUUGUCAGCCUGGGAGACUCAAGCCUCCCAUCUAUCCACAAAACAAGUAUCACACAGGCAACAGCUUCCUCACCCGUCACGGGACCGCCUCAACGGAUGAAAAUGUAGUUGUGUUUUCUUGACAUAGUGCUUGGCGUUUCUGUCAACAAGAAUGCCAUUUCGGAUAGUAAAUUUUUCUGUAACUCAAAUUGGACGGAGAUGACCAAAUUCUUUUCACUGUCCACCAAACUGUCGGCAGAAGAUAACAGCUUUGGUUAACUGAGCCCUGGGUUGUAUUAGAACUUGACGCCUAGAAAAACUGAAAGGCUCUGAAUCCCCAUGCCAGCCCUCA